ACAGCCGUUAGAAAUAUUGCAAGUGUAGCUGCCACAUUGCAUGCUUGUGAGUUGAUGGCAGAGAGGAACGAGGCUAUGUCUAUUUUCAGGGUUCUGACCUGUAGACAUCUGAAUGAUUAGUAGCCUAGCAAU
ensembl:snoRNA Gm24443 small nucleolar RNA SNORA17